ensembl:lncRNA
GUAUCAUUGGUAUAUCAGCAAAUCUCAAGAACUCCUCCGUGACCUUUGGCCUAGUGGUGAAAUCCCUGAGCGGUUUCCAUCCUCUCUGGCAACUCGGUUAGGACGGACUUCUGAAUCUUUCGUAGUGACUGGGUGUGUUGAUAUUCAAUGUCUGCUUUCAGUUUUUUUAAAUUCAUCUACCAGAAUUGGUGCCCUUCUUUUGCGAGGUGUUAUUGUUAAAACCUCUCUGGUCUUUGUGGUUGAAAUUCACUGCUCGAUUUGAAGGACCGUACAAUUAUCUGUAUGUGUGGGGUUGGCGUGAUGAGGUAGUCAUUCAGUCAUGUUGAACACUGUUCUGGCAGACAAAGUGAGUCCUUGUAACUGAUGUGGCUUUAACUACAUAUUUACUAUGGCACUUAAUUAGCCUUGAUAUAACAAUGGGGUUGAAUACUUGACUCAUGAAAAUUUCAGCUUUUCAUUUUUUUUAAUUUAUUUGUCAAAAAAAUAAUCUUAAAAAUAUAACUUUGACAUGAUGGAGUAUUGUGUGUAGGCCCAGUGGAGGAGAAUAAUCUAAAUUGAAUCCAUUUUAAAUUAAAGCUGUAACACAAGGGGCUGUAUUAACCAAUCAGAGAGUUACUGAGAGAACCAGUGUCGUGAUUGGAGAGUUACUGAGAGAACCAGUGUCGUGAUUGGAGAGUUACUGAGAGAACCAGUGUCGUGAUUGGAGAGUUACUGAGAGAACCAGUGUCGUGAUUGGAGAGUUACUGAGAGAACCAGUGUCGUGAUUGGAGAGUUACUGAGAGAACCAGUGUCGUGAUUGGAGAGUUACUGAGAGAACCAGUGUCGUGAUUGGAGAGUUACUGAGAGAACCAGUGACGUGAUUGGAGAGUUACUGAGAGAACCAGUGUCGUGAUUGGAGAGUUACUGAGAGAACCAGUCAUGAUUGUAAAUCGAUGUUAAACACAGUCCUUGAACCAUGAAUACACAGUGUCUUAUUGGCCCAUGUGGGCGGGGCAUCCUGAAGAUGCAAAACACUGUAAUAACAAAAAUGAAUCAAAUGUAGAUAGAACAAAUUU